rnacentral:lncRNA from 1 species
ACAUUGUGGUGAUCUGCACAACUGAAAGGAUAUAUCUUUAUUACCUGAGUGGGCAGAAGGUUGAGACUUUUAUGACUCCAGGACAACUAAAUCCGAAGAGAAGAUUCAUACCUUACACAAACAGCCUCGCUGCGAUACAUGAGCUGAAGAACUAGCUGUUGCUGUCAAGUAGAAUUCUCAUGUCCUUCCAUCAGAACUCCUUGAACAUUUUGCAUCUUCUUUUGUUUGUUAUUUGACUUGGAUUGCAGAUUAAGCUGUUUGAAUUGCUUUGUGUUUUUAUUAUAGACAUGUUUUGGAUUGCCAAUAGUUAUUGCGAGGUUUUAGUUGUCAGUUCCUUUCUACUGCUACUGUUUAUAUUUGACGAUGGAAUGUGACGUAUGAUUAGCUUUACGUUGGAGGUGGAGGGUAUUUACUACUUGAACCGAUCCCUCUUGUUUUUCUCAUAAUGAAGAAUUAAAGCUUAUAUUAUUCACGUUUACUAGUAUAUAAAUAAAAAGUUAUAAAACUAAAUUUUAUGAUAUGUGUUUUAUUGAAACUGGGAAUCGGGAAAAAUUCAAUUCAAUUCGGCAUCAAAGAAGGUAGUAGACAUCUGAUGAAAACAUAUAAUUUAUUUUAAUCGAACACAAAAUGUUAUUCUUCAAAAUAUUUCUAAUAAUUGUUUUGAGGAAAAUAUCAAAGGGAAAAGAAGAAAAUUUAGAAGAUUAACUAUGAUAAUAUUCGUAUAAAUUGGGUUUUCUCUACUUAUUGUCACGACCCAAGCCUAGGGCCUAGACGUGACCGGCGAAUAGGGAACCCAAAGGAACCCCAAACAAGCCUCAUAGCGUAUCAUUACACAUCCUUGGUCGCGGAAGCAAAAAAAAUGACCAUAAGCGAUAAGCAUAAUGAAGGGGGAAAUCGGGACUAAGGGAACAAGAGAAACAAAAAAAUAAGAAUGAUACAAAAAUACCAUAGAUGAGUCAAGCUCAAGCAUAAUACACAACUUGUCCAACACCACCUCUAAACAUGAGUACUUAGCGGGGGCCAAGACAAACUACCGGGCUCACCCUCAUAGACAAAACAUAACUAAAAAGAAAAACUCUUAUACAUAGCAAAAGAUCAUGAGCAACGUCCCCGGAAUGGAGGACUCACCAAUAACCUUGAUAGGAAAUCGUAUUAGCCACGCGGAGGAGGAUGGUCAAGCGGUGCUCCGGUCCCUACAUGGUGACAUCAUGUAGGCAUAGAGUAUGCGUUAGUACGUUUGAAUGUACUAAGUAUAUGGGAUGCAAUGCAAUGCUACAAUAGAUGGACAUCAUAGGAAAAAUGCAUAAUCAUACCCGAUAGAUAGCAUAUUAAAGAAAUGAUAUGUAUAAUGAUGCUUACAUAAAAAUCAUAUUUAGUGGGACGUAGCACAAGUGUGGUGAGUGACCAUCAAUAUAGUAUUUCCAAGGCCUACAACCCCCUUGGAGAGGCGAAAGAGGUACAAACCCCUCAAUGUGGUUACCCGGGCCUACCACCCCCCGAGCUAGGGACCAAGGUACAAACCCCUCGAUAUGGUUAUACGGGCCUACUACCCCCCGUACUAGGCAACCAAGGUACCAACCCCUCGAUACGGUUAUACGGGCCUACUACCCCCCGUACUAGGCAACCAAGGUACCAACCCCUCGAUACGGUUAUACGGGCCUACUACCCCCCGUACUAGGCAACCAAGGUACCAACCCCUCGAUACGGUUAUACGGGCCUACUACCCCCCGUACUAGGCAACCAAGGUACCAACCCCUCGAUACGGUUAUACGGGCCUACUACCCCCCGUACUAGGCAACCAAGGUACCAACCCCUCGAUACGGUUAUACGGGCCUACUACCCCCCGUACUAGGCAACCAAGGUACCAACCCCUCGAUACGGUUAUACGGGCCUACUACCCCCCGUACUAGGCAACCAAGGUACCAACCCCUCGAUACGGUUAUACGGGCCUACUACCCCCCGUACUAGGCAACCAAGGUACCAACCCCUCGAUACGGUUAUACGGGCCUACUACCCCCCGUACUAGGCAACCAAGGUACCAACCCCUCGAUACGGUUAUACGGGCCUACUACCCCCCGUACUAGGCAACCAAGGUACCAACCCCUCGAUACGGUUAUACGGGCCUACUACCCACCGUACUAGGCUUGGUCGACUCACAACACGUAUAUAGAGAAAAUCAUAUACAUGUGUCCAUUUCAUCAUCAUUUCAAUAAUUAUAUAACCAUUCGAUUCAUAAGACGUACAUUGGACCUUCCAUUUCCUAAGAAUUCUAUAAAUGGGCAUUUUGUCAAACACAAGGUGGGCUAUUGUUCAUGUAAAUGAAAUCAUGUACUUCAAGAGUACUAAGUCCAACCAAUUUCAAAAUCCAUAUAAAACAGCCCACCAACAACAUACAUAUAUAUAUACAUAUAUAACAACCUUCAUAAUUUGAUCAUUGAGGCAUGAAAACCAUAAACAUCAUAUAAUCAUUCCAUUUCAUGAUAAUAUACAAAAAUAGACCAUAAUAGGAUGUGUAGUAAUAAUUCCAUAAUUCAAGAGUUCAUAAAUGAUCAUAAGGACCCAUAAACUUGAAGUAAAAUAGAGGAUAAAUGGUUGGACUUGUGGAAAGGAAGGUUUCCACAAUCAACCCACAUACCUCAACUUUGGAGAAUUCUUGAUGAAGAUUGGAAUGGAGAAUUGCUUGAGAUUGAAUCUUGAAUCCGGAAUUAAAGCUUGGGAUCCUUGAAUUUGGUUGAUGAUCUUGGUGGAAUUUUUGGAGAGGGUUUAGAGAGAGUUUUUGGAUGUUUUGAAGUUAAAUGACUAAGUAUGGAUAUGUCCCCUUUUUAUAAAAACGUCCCAACACUUAGAAAAAAAAUUGAGGCGGGUGAACAGUGUUUUCGGCUACUGGAAUUUGCAUUUUCUGCCGGACAGGUUUUACGAAAAUGGUCAUAACUCCUUCAUCCUAACUCGGAAUGAGGCGAAACAAAUUGCGUUGGAAAGCUAACUCACAGAGCUUUAAUUUUGAUAGUUUGAGCUCCUUCCAGUUCCUUGUGUGCUGAGAGAUAUGCCCCUUUAAAGUUGACCCUCAAAAUCGCAUUUUUUGCGAUUUUCAAGUUUUGAUACGGUUGUUCUAAAAUUCGGGUUAGACUCAUUUCCCACUCAAUUUGACCCCCUGAAUAAGAAUAUGAAGUCGAAUUUCCGAAAUGAUGCACGGAUUUUGAGAUAUAUGGAAAUUACAAUUUUAGGUGUUUUCGAAGCACAUUUUCGGACAUUUUUGGGGUCGUUUCACUUAUAUACUGGUAAAAAAUUAAAAUUAUCUAAUGUAAUAAUUAAGAUGGACACAAACUAGGAGAUACACGCUAAGUAAAAGUGUAUCUAUCACUAAUAAAAUUUGAUGCAAACUACACAAUUUUUACUACUUUAAGGUCUAAUUACAUAAUUCUCGUAAGUUUUCAAAACUACUAUUUGUGUCAGAUUUCGAUCUUCAGAUACAUGUAUAAUAUACUCGGAUACAUUAGGUUAAAAAUAGGUGUAAUAUUAUCUUGGAUACACUAACUUUCUCGCUCAUCUCUCUCCUACAUCGCUUGCCUCUCGCCCUCUCUCCCUCACCUCUUUUCCUAUGUAUCUAAAUUUCAGAAUGUAUCUAGUUCCCCAAAUUUCAGAGAGUUAGUGUGAUGAGAUACACUGACUCUCUCGCUUGCCUCCCUUCUCUCUAUCUCUCGCUUGCCUCUCUCUCUAAGUAUUUUUAUUUUAGAGUGUAUCUAAUAGCAAAAAUACAUGUAUAUAAGAGUGUUUAAUUUCAAAUUUGAUAUAAAAUUAUUAAUUAGUGAGACAUUAUAUCAUUAUCUCAAACUCUAUGGAAAAUUAAUUUAGGGGGUUUGAAUUGACUUUUUAAAAGUAAUUUAUAAGCACCAUAAUUGGGCACGCCUAGCUUUUGAUAUUUUCAAAACUUUCUCUGCCUAAUUUUUUUUUAAACACUUUUUUAUAAUUACAAACACUUACUAAAUUAAAAAAAAAAGAUUAAAAAAAGAAAAAAUAACUUACAAUAAUUCAAUCUAGACACUCUCCAAAAAAUGAUAGAGAUAGUUAUAUAAUAAGAUUCGUAUAAUUUAAGUUACGAACUUACAAGUCACACUAAGGAGUAUAUAAUAUAACCGAAUAACCUUAGUAAAUACUCUCCAUAUGUUAACAGUGUCUUCUUUAAACCCUUUUCAGUAUUUUUCCCUCCCAUUCUUCUUCUUCUUCGCCACCGCCGACGAUGCUCUUAGUCUUUUCAGGGUUGCAGUUGGAAUCCCAGAACGCCAAAUUGAUUCAUAGACUUUUCUCUCUCUGCCAUGGCUAUCGACGGAGAACAGUCGCACAAAUCUCACAUGUCACGUCAGUCUGGUCCUACGGCCAAGAAAAAAUCCAAGUCCGACAAGAAAAAAAAGGUUGCUUCCGACGAAAACAAUAAACAACAUAAUACUAAGGUUUCUUGAAUAGUAUUUUUUCUUGUAGUUCUUUUUUGUUCUUUAUGUACCUGGGUUCGUCUACUGUUUUUUUUUUUUUUAUGACAAGGGAAACCACAGCCGCUACCGUUUGGGUGCGCAUAGGGUAAAACCCCCUCUCCUAUUCAAUACCUCGCAAACCACAUAGGAGAGGUAAACCGCACUAGCCAAGCCUGGUGCGACGAGCUCGACCCAGAAGGCAAACCCCUUGCUUUUGCUGGCAAGGGGUUUCUAACCUGAGACCUCCAACAUGAAAGUCCCAAGCGCCACCCCGAAGGGUAUCUACUGUUUUACUCUAUUCUUGACUAAUUUUUAUUAAUAAUCUGGGUAAAUGUUUGUUUCAGUCUAUUUUGUUGGUCUAGCCAGUCAUAUAUGAUUGGUCUACCCAGUCAUAGAUGAAUAGAUGUUGGUAGUUCUUUUAACUCUAGACCUAAGUCUCCUCACUGGCUCCAGGGUCUUACCAUUUAUCAUGUAAUGGAGAAAGCAUAUCUACUUUUGUACUCUUUGCAUCUUCUUGAUUACUUCAUCAAUAAAAUAAUAAUUUGGGCACAAGUCCAAGAUAUCUUGAAUAGUAAUUUCUUGAGACUUAUAAUGUAAAUUUGUAGGCAUUUGCAUUUAAUUCCACGGUGAAAGCAAAGAAAUUGCAAGCACGAGCAACAGAGAAGGAGCAGAAGAGGCUUCAUGUCCCAACAGUUGAUAGGUCCACUGGUGAACCAGCUCCAUAUGUUAUUGUAGUGCAGGGACCUCCCAAGGUUGAUUUCACAUGGUUGUUUUUGGUUAGAUGUCAUUCAUUGGGUUUUAGAUUUGAUCUUCUUAUGUAUUAUGCUAUUAUAGGUUGGGAAGUCACUGUUAAUUAAGUCUCUCGUGAAGCACUAUUAUUAUGCUAUUAUAGGUUGGGAAGUCACUGUUAAUUAAGUCUCUCGUGAAGCACUAUACAAAGCAAAAUUUACCUGAAGUUUGAGGUCCCAUCACUGUAGUAUCAGGUAUGGAUUGGCUUCCCACCUUGUUCCUUUUUCCGGUUAGCUUAGUCCAUAAAUGAAUAAUUGGAAGUAUUAGAAAGAAAGUAUGGAUUCACCUGAUCACAUCUGAGAUAUUAUCUUUGAUGGUUUCUGUUUAUCUCAUGUUUCGUCUUGAUUGUGAUUUUUAUCUCCUUCAAAAAGGAGGUAGAGAGGAUAUCAAAUAUGCUGGAUGUGUUGGGUGGUUGUGGAAAUUAUUCAUUUAACAUCUUACAGUAUAUCCAUUUUCUUGUUCCUUAUCCUUUUCCUAUUCCUCAUUUCAAUUACAAUGGUAGGCUUUCGAGAUGGAUUCCGUACUUUAGAGAAGACCUUAAUUAAAUUUUCCUAAUAGUUCCCCUUAGCCCAUAUAACAUUUCAAGUUUAAUGAAUGAAAUAAAAGAGAAAAGCUAAUUUUCUUGUAUAAAGAUGUUUUUUGUGUAGGAGGUUAUUCUACUUUCAUUUGGGUUUCUUUCAACUUAAUACACUCCGCAUUCAGAAUAACUUCAGUUGGCUGGUUUUUACUGGGUUUGACAUUAUAUUUAGUUCUCCACAAGCAAGACAUGCCUCCAAAAUCAGUUGGGACAUGGUAUACAGUGAGUGCUUGGUUUCGCGUUCGAUUAAUCUGCUGUGGUUGUGAUGCUGUUACUGACUCUGAUAUGUAUAUUAACUUAAAAUUGUAUUUUAUAGCUAUACUUUUUUUCUCUUUUCGAUUUUUUGCUAUGUGAUCGAGGAUAUGCUUUUCUGCUUUAUUGCAAUAUGUUAGUAACUGGUCUUGUCAAAUGUGCACUUAAACCCGGUAGGCAAGGCACUUUGUAGGAUGAAUGUUGUGCCUUGCUAAAUUGCUGUUUCGGUGGAAGCUCUUAAUUGGUGAUUCAACACAAAACCUAUGUUAAUUAUGAAACUCUUGAGUUUUGCCUAUAGGUUGACUAUAAAUCAUUAAGGUGGCUGGAUCAAUUUAGUGUGAAGUGUUAAGGAAACUCGGCUGAUGGAAAUAUUCUAGUCACUACUCCCUAGGAAUAGGAAAUUAAAAUAUUUUUACAAGAGAGUUAGUUACUUCUUACAAUUGCAUUGUGAACUUAAAAACUUAACUAGAAAUAGAGUGGAACUUGAACUACCAUGGUCUUUAUCCACCAAUAUAUUAACUUAAUAUGCAGUGUUUUAUUUCCAUCAAUUUUGCAUCUUUUUUCUCUUAGUUUGUAUUUAGUUGAGCGUUGUUAAUAUAUCCCAUAAAAUAGCUUUUCUAUGCAUUUUGCCUCUGACAAUAUUGAUAAUAUCUAGAAGACAUUUUUUUUCCUCUUGAUGUCCCAAAGUAAGGUGUCAACUUAAUCAAUUAUAAGAGUAGCUAUAUAUGCAGUAUUGACAUAACUAUAUUCUAUUGCGUUUUACUUGGUUCUUUGGUAUUGGAAAAUUAUUGUUAAUUCAUUUGUGACAUUGUAGGUAAGCAGAGACGUUUGCAGUUUGUGGAGUGUCCGAAUGAUAUCAAUGGGAUGAUUGAUGCGGCAAAGUUUGCGGAUUUGGCAUUGCUUCUCAUUGACGGUAGCUAUGUCUUUGAAAUGGUGCGCUUUUCUUUCUUAAGAGAAAAAAGACUCUUUAGGAUAAGCAUAAGAUUAUUCUAGCGUUUUCUCAUUGAAUAUGUAGCAACUACUCUACUCUAAGGAUGGUUUAUUCGUAGCAAGUUAGGUGAGAUUGAAUUAUAUGCAGAUAUUAUCAUUAAUGUAAGUUCUUGAUUCCUCUGUCUUUCAAAUUGAUCCUCUUUGUCCCGUUUUAUUUGACUUGCCUUUUCUCAUGACAUGCAUAUAUAUUAGUAGUUGAAGAAAGUGUAAUACUUUAUUAACUCUAUACCAUGAUUCCCUCAGUAAUACCUGAUCACUUUUAACAACUAUUUUCAGUGUUAUCUUCUGACACUAUCAAUUCAAUAUGCUUGUUAAGUUAUUUAUUGGUGUGUUUGAUCAAAAUCUCUCACAGAAUAGCAGAGGCAGAGGGAGUAUCAGUUAGAUUCCUUACACAAACUUAAUUGGUUAUAUUAAAAUUGACAUUUGUUGUAUGCUUCCAUCUUGUUACCAAGGUAACACAGAGGGUGUUAUAUUCUUCCUCCAGUACCUUUCGCAUUUACUGAUUGGUGAUUUUUGCCAACUUUAUUUCCUCUUUGAAAGUUUCUUAGCUGAUAUUUUUUUUGUUGGUAGACCUUGUGAUUGGUUUAAUUAUUGUCACGACCCGAGCCUACACCCUUGACGUGGCCGGCACUCGAUAACCAUUGAUGUUCUCCAAACUAACUCCCAUCCUGGCUGACUAUAAGUGGAAGACUAACUCAAACUUACAAAGCUUAAAAACUGAAUAAAAUUCAUGAAACUUAAAUAGAAAUCUUUAACUCAACAGAAAACUCUGAAUAAAAUAAAUUAUUCAACUCGCUAUAAAAUACGCAACUUAAAUCUUUAAAACAUUUAGUAAAAUAAAUAAUACAGACUUCUCAAUUAUACUGACUAUCUAUGAAGCCUCUAACUGAUAAAGAUGGAAGUCGGGACAAGACCCAUGACAUCCUGACUAAACUGAAAAGUAAAUGAAAUCCUCCGGAAACAAGGAGGCUCACCAUAGCGAACUCGAACUCCCGGAUGUAUAACGAAUCUCCUGUUGAUAAUCCUAAACACUUGUGUCUGCAUUAUGAAAAGAUGCAGGCCAAAUGGCUUAGUAUGUGGAAUGUACGAGCAUGCAAGGGGAAUUCUAAAACAUAAACAUACGCUUGAAACUUGAUAAAAACGAAACAUACUUAUCUCAUUUCAAAUUUACUCAACUCAAGAAAUACUCAAGGAUACUCAAAACUACUCAAACUUACUCAACUCAGAAGUAUUCAAGGAUAAGAUACUCAACUCAGAGAUUAGGUACUCAACUCAAAGAUAUGAUAUUCGACUCUGGGUACUCAACUCAAUAAAAGCAACAAUACACAUGCAAUAUAUGGAAAGCUUUAUAAAACAGUAAAUGCAACUUAGUUCGUUUAAGAAAAUGCAAUAACAAAUUCAACUUUACUUAGAUAAUAAAGUAAUAUAGUUUCUGUGGGAGUUUCUCUAACCGACAACCACCACUAUGAGCCUAAGUGGUGACACAACGUCUUGCCCACGCUGCUAGAACUGUCCUAUACUUUGCCGUCAUAUAGAACGCUUAACUUAGUGGAUCCACUAGCUUAUGCUAAAAGCAUCUUAAGGAGUCAUCUAAAAAGUAUGAUCCUUUACUACCCAUGAUGGCUACAUGGCUUAUGGAGACGUGAAUUGUCUGAACUCAAACUCGUCCCCAUAUCGGUACUUAAUACUACUCCCAAAAUAUCUUAGCUCAUAUGUUUGUAAAAACAAAGCUUCCUUCUUUGGUUUGAGAUAAUUACUCAAAAACUUAGCUUAAAAGCUCUCUUGGAAUCGAUGUUCCCUUUCUUGCUCAAAACUCUUUUGGAAAUCUCAGUAAAUGUGAAAACAUUUUCUCUUGGGAAUACUUAGUUCCCAUAUAUCAUUUUAAAGAAAAUGAACUUUAUUCUUACUCUUUACUCAACUUCAAAGCUCAAGUCUUAAAACAAAGUUAAAACAUUUGUAAAAGACUUCUUAAAAUAUGGUUCAUGCCGAUUUAUGGACGUGAUCGACUCAAUGCAAGGUUUUCAAUGACCAUAGAUAGAACUAAAUAGUUGGAACUCAAGAACUUCAAUGAUACUACCCAUCUCAAGACUGUUCGACUUAUAGGGUUCAUGCAAAAUUAUGGACAUGUAUAACCCAACUCAAGAACUUCAUGGGUAACAUGUAAUAGUCCCAUUAUUAGGAAUAUAAUCUCGAAAAAGAUUAGGAACUCAAUACUCAAGACUUAGAACUUGAAGAUACUACUCCUUUCAAGGAUACUUAACUUAUGGAGUUCAUGUGGAAUUUAUGGGCAUGAACAACUCGACUUGAAAGUCUACAUAACAACAUGGAACUUAUGUAAACGACUCUUCUCAUUCUCAUACUUGCUUCCUCAAGAACUUAACACAAAUCGAUGGUGGAUCUCAAAGGAUUCACAAUUGAACUCAAAGGCUUCCUUGAACUCUACUCUUAACUCUCUCUUGAAUGUGAAUUAUGAAUUCAAGAGUUAUGGUUCAUGCUAUGAAAGGUCUCAUGAUGACAAAGUAGACUCAUGAACACAUUCUCCUCAUUCUCUUACUCACUUGCUCGAGUCUUGAUACAAGUUAUUAGAAAUUGUAGAAGACUCCUCACAAAGACUCAAAGGGACUUUCUCAAAAAUAUUUGAAAGAACUCUCAAAACUUGACUCUCAACUCUACCUUGAAUUUGAUUUAUGUAUUCAAGGUUCUGAUUUGUGAUAGGAAAGAUCUUGGGAUAUUUAGGAAUGUUUUUAGAUAGUUAAAUAUGAGUAACGAUUGAAAAACACGUUCUGGGGAGCCAGUCCACGACGCGGAGAUGCAUUAAUAUGUUUGGUUGAAAUAAUUUUUGAAACCGUGGAGUCCGCAACCUCUCUGGGACGCUGAGCGAAAAUUUUCACACCGAAGGAACAGGUCCGUGACGCGGACCUGUCGCGGACCUGGUACCUGUUCCUUGUCCGACUUUUUCUUCCUCAUUUUCUAACCCCAAUUCGCUUUGAAUCGAACAGUUUCUUCCCCAAUCACUUGAAUUCGAUUACUCAACAUAAGUACACUCUAAUCUACUCAAUACAGCCCUCUAAAGACUCACAUUCAUCUCAAGAAAUCACCAAAACCCCAACACAAAAAGAUUUAGGAUGAACUUUAAGAACAACACCUAUCAAGAACUCAUCAAGGACUCUAAUCUUUCAACUUUUAAGAAUGAAAUUGCGCUAAAAAUAACAUGAUUGGCGUGUGAGUGAACAAAUCCAACACUAUGGAAGCUUACAUACCUGAAAGAAUCAUCUUUUUGAAGGACUUGAAGGAAAAUCUUGAAAGAUGAACCCUAGCCUUAGCGUUUCUUGAAGUCCUUGAGCAUUAGAAUUUUUGGAGUGGAUGAGAGAGAGGCUUUGAUUUAAGAAAACUGAUUUUCUACACGUUUAGGGCAAUUUAGAUGACAUUCUAAGGCUUUUUAGGACCAAAAUACCCUUUAAGAAAUAAAUAAAACGAGAUGGGAGUCGGAAUAAUUUUUCACCAUGCAGUAAGGUCCGUAUUGGAUCCGUAACGCGGAGCCAUCGCGGAGAUACUGCCAGGUUUGAGCGUCGUUAGUAAAUCAGUCAUUAACUUGUUACUCAGAGCUGGGAAUUUUGCAAACUUGGUGGUGUUGGAAAGAGGACUCGAAGGGCUUUAAUUUAAAAUCUUAUGGGUCUCCUUACUCAUCCUGUACUAAAAGUUAUGGUUGUUUGAAGUUGAACCAAAACUUAAGAAAAAUUUAGGAAUGACUUGAAUGAACUCUCUUUAGUUCUUCUUGAAACUCAAGGUGCUAUAUCUAGUGACCUUAACGCUUAGGAAAAUUUAAAUUGCUGAGUAGAAACUUACUCACUACGAAGGACGGGUCGAGUCUUAGCUCUAAAAUUCUCUGGGAGACCUUUGAAUUCCUUAAUAUACUGCAAAAUCAUGGAUUUCCUAAAGUUAUGGGUGUUCUUACGCAUCUCGACCAGUUCAAGGAUGUUAAGAAGCUUAAAAAGACGAAGCAACUGUUAAAACAUAGAUUUUGGACUGAGAUAUAUGAUGGAGAUAAAUUAUUUUACUUGUCUGGUCUUAUCCAUGGGAAGUAAGUCCCUGGAUUCCAUAUUUGAAAAUACAUGUUUAGCAUGCUACAUUGAUAUAAUGUAAUAUUUCUAUUUAAUUUCUGAAACAAUUUUUUGUUAAUGAGUAGGUACUCUAAACGUGAAGUGCAUAAUCUUGCUCGGUUUAUCUCUGUCAUGAAGUUUCCUCCUUUAUCCUGGCGCAUGUCCCACCCCUACAUUGUUGUAGAUCGAUUUGAAGAUCUAACUCCCCCUGAAAAAGUGUGCAUGGACAACAAGUGUGACAGAAAUGUCAUUUUGUAUGGUUAUCUUCGUGGAUGUAAUUUGAAGAAAUGAACAAAGGUCUGUGAUGUGAAUGCUUUGUUUCUUGUACUUUUCUUGUAUUUGGUUGGGAAAUAACUUUUAGUACUACAGUUUCAAAAAAUAACUUUUUGUACUAAUUCAUGUUAAAUAAAAUUGUGAUUAUGCUAUGAACUGGCUGUUUAUAGGCAUAGAAGCAAAGGUUCGUGCACCCUGUAAGGUCAAUUGAAAGUAAUAUAGUUGCUGAGACUUGAGAGAUGACAUAGCAAUAUGCCUAAUAUCUUAUGGAGUGUUGGUUGGCUCUAUCGGGCUACAAAUAGAUGAAUUUUAAGAGUGACAAUACCACAGAUCUGGUUCAAAUACUUGGAGAAAAUCAUCAAGCUUAACGUUCAAAUGCAUAUUAUGUAUCUAGUGGCUAAUAUAGAGAAUUUUGGCUAUUGUUUUAGGAAUUUUGGGUAUAGAGUGGACCUUUGGCCUUUUUGGUGUAAACUUAUCAUAUGUGAGGAGGAAAAAUGAGACUCUUAUCAAUGUUUUGUAGAUUUUGCACAGAGAAUCUUUUGUAGUAUCCAACAUUGGCUUGGUGCUUGGCUAUUUCACUUGUGAAUAAUAUUUUCUUUACUUGUCAACAAUCUGAGUUUGUGAAUUCUACUGUUCGAUGUUCUAUUGAAAGGGAACAAGUUAUCUCCCUUUCAUAACAAAGUAGAUAAGACCACGAAAGAUGGAAGCCUUUGGGAUACUAACUCACUAGUUGUGUAAUGAUUCAUGUGAAGACUUUGUCAUUUUAUUUAUAUCUGGUUAUUUUAAUAUGGUGUUACAGCUAUUGAUAUAGCAGUUUAUUUCUCCCUUGUCCAUAUUCUAAAGCUGCUUCACAAUAUGACCAGGUACAUAUUGCUGGUGUUGGUGAUUAUAGUUUUAGCUGGUAUAACAGCAUUACCCGAUCCAUGCCCUCUACCAUCUGCUGCCAAGAAGAAGGGACUAAGGGACAAGGAAAAGCUGUUUUAUGCCCCCAUGUCUGGAUUUGGCGAUCUUCUUUACGAUAAGGAUGUUGUGUAUACAAUCAUAAAUGAUCACUUUGUCCAGUUCUCUAAGGUUGAUGAAACAGCUGCUGUUGGGAGUCGCAGAGGUAAAUAUUUCCUCUCUGUUUUUUAUAAACCUACGAAUUCCAAUUUUUUUUGGCUUAUGGGAAAUUUACAUUCCCUUAUUUAAUUCAGCAAGAUAAAUGAUAUGCCUCAGGCUAUCUUUUGUUGUUUGAAUUGGUAAGUUCUUAUCCUAAACAGCUAUAGCUUUAAAAUUUGCUGCUAUUACCAAUUAGUAGGCCUUGAAUGUUGUUGCUUUUCUUUGAUUGCUCUGGAUUCCUUCCAUCCCUAUCAGUUACUCAUCAUAAUUUCUGGCUAAACUCUACUUAUUAUUGGUCAAGCGACUUAAUAAGACCAAAUGUUGAUUAUGAAAUCUUCUCUUGUACUGGUGUUUGUUUCAUCCAUUUCCUCCACGUUGAGUCUCUCUCUUUUGCAUUCGGAGGAGUGCUAUUUGCUUAGAUGGUGUUAGAAGUUGUUGAGAACUCCUAUAUGUUGUAAAAUUUUAGUACAUCUUUUUACCAAUUGCUUAGACACCGUCGGGACACGAAUGGUCGUUGUUAAUCUUAUGAUCGAUACUAGUUUCUAAAACAACCUUAUGAUCGAUAGUAGUUUGUUGGAUUUUGUGCAUUUUCACUAAGCCGACCAAUUAAAAAGAAAAAUUGAGUUAUGUUAUUGUCACCUCCCUACCAUGUUAUUACGAAAAAUGAUCCAUACAUUUGUCAAACUACAUUAGGUGGAUGCCAAUAUCAACUAAUGCGUGAAAAAAAUGAAAGAAGAAUAGGAUUAUGUUAGGCACAGUGGUUUGAGCUUGGGACUUCCAUGUUGGAGGUCUCAAGUUCGAAACCCCUUGCCAGCGAAAGCAAGGGGUUUGCCUUCUGGGUCGAGCUCGUCGCAUCAGGCUUGCCUAGUGCGGUUUACCUCUCCUAUGUGGUUUGCGAGCUAUUGCAUCGGAGCGGGGGUUUUAACCUGUGCGCACCCAAAGGGUAGCGGCUGCGGGUUUCACAAUUUUUUUUGCAUAGACUAAUAAUUAAAAAUCUCACCUGUGUCAUGCAUGGAUCUACAACUGGUUUUUUUUUUAACACUGCUAAUUUGUAUUUUUCAGUAUUACGGGCUAUGACUUGUUUUCUUAAUAAUGGAUAAAGAAAUUAUUGGAUGUUGAUGGUUUGUGAGCUAUUGCAUAGGAGCAGGGGUUUUACCCUGUGCGCACUCAAAAGGGUAGCGGCUACGGGUUUCCCUUGUCAUCAAAAAAAAUAAAAAAUAUUGGAUGUUGAUAUCACCUUUUUCCAACAUGCUAUAUGUUGUUUUAUUUUUUGGGUCACAACUUUUGGCAAGACAUUUUCCCACUGACAAGUAUUAUCCUCUUGAUCUCAGGGAAGGUCAAUGAUGUCGGAGAGGCUUUAGUUAAAUCACUUCAGAACACGAAAUAUUCAAUAGAUGAGAAGUUUCGGGAAAAUUCAUAAUCCAUCCUCAUCAAAUCAUGCUAAAGCUGAUCAAACUAAUGAUUUGGUGCCUGCGGAGCGAGAUCAGUCUGUCUUUGAACCCAACAGUGAUGGAUCAGAUGAAGACAAUGAUUCUGAAGAUUUGAAUGAGUUGGAACCAGUACAGUUGAAGCGUACUCAUCCAAAGGAGUCAAAGGACACCUCUGAUGAUAGUUCUGAGAAAGAGGAUACUAUUGGAUCAGAGAAGCACCCAGGAUCGAGUAGUUGUUUCAGAGAACAUGUUGAUUUCCAUGACGGAAGAAUGAGAAGAAAAGCUAUCUUUGAUAAUGAUAAUGAUAAUGAUUUUGAUGAAAAGGUAAGCCACUGACAUUCCUGAUCUAGUUCCUGUCCUUCUCGUUGUGCCUCAUCUUGUCUAUGAGGUGUUUGUGUAUAGUGGAUAAAAACCAAGUAGACAGCUAUAUGUACCAGAAUAUUAAGGAGGAAAGCUUAUAUCUCCUUUUUUUCUUUUCUUUCCGAUUUUGAAAUCUAAUGAACCUGUUGCUUUCCAACUAUGUAAGAGUCCCUGGAAAUUGUGCAGGUUUUUUUUUGGGAGCAGAGGUUAUUUGCAUGAAGAAUAGUGCUUUCUAAAACUCAUCAAUUACCCCUUUCCAAUAUUUAUAUAAACCUCACCUGCAUAUUAUUGUUCACAUUAAUUUGUAUAAGUUGUUACGUCUUCACAUAUAUGCUCUGAACUUAAGUUUUGACCCAAGUUACACUCUUGUAUAUCCUGGUUCACCGUGUGGUGGAAUUGGACUUUGAUAUGCGUAUAUGUUGUAUUUAUACUAUAUCAUUAAAUCCAGGAUUAUAGUUAAGAUGUCGAAGAGGAUGCACAAGACGAGGAUUUAGAGGAUACUGAUGAAGAAAAUGAAGCUUAUCAAAAUUCAGGGGAUGAUGAUGAUUUUGAUAUAGAUGGUAGGUUUUUGAUCUUCAUUUUGUACAGACAUCAUUCUAUGUGUAGUUUGAUCUCCAUUUAGUACUUCAUCAUCCACUUGGCCAAGGAGUAAAUGAAGUUCCUAACAAAGUGUUUUAGUAUGCCAGAAAUUAGGAUCUCAUAGAAGGAGCUGAUGAGGUACACUCUAGACUCUACUUCAUAGAUCACUAAUCAUCAAUAUCAAAAGAAGGAAAGACAUUUCACUAUACUAAAAAUCAUAGAUUUUGAAAUGUAUAUCUCCCAAUCACCAUUUAGCAGUUCAUCUCCUUGGUAAAUGUGGUUCGAAGAAAUAAAAAUAUCAACAAUCAAGAAAUUUGACAAUACUGAAAAUCAAGAAACCAUAGAUUUAGAAAAGUAAAUCUUCUAUAAAGAAUGAAUUUUGAAACAAAAGAGUCAAAAUACAAUUAAAUAAGUCGUUCACACAUAGAUCAUAUCAUAAAUCUGAGUAAAAUCCGACAGUUCAUAUAUAUAAAUUUUGGUCAAUUGAAACAUGAAAUGUUUACAUUCAACUAGUUCCACAUAAGCAUAAUACAAGGAAUCAAAACAAUUUCCAACAAUUGAAACAGAUGACAAUCAAAUGGAACAAAUUAAGAAUAAAUCACUUUUCAUGACAUAUAUAAUGGAUAAUCGUAAAAAGAAUUUUAGAGUUUUUAAUGAAUACUGGUAAUCAAAAAACAUUAGAAGAAUUAAGGAAAGAACUCACAAUGCCCGGGGGUUGAGUUGUCGUAAACAAAGAAGGGGGAAAAGCGGUUUGAAACCCUAGUGGUGACGAGAACCGUGUGUGAAGAGGAGAGUGGAGAGAGUUCAAUAUUGCAGAAAUUUAGCAAAGAGUUAAAGAUCGGAUUAAUUGGUUAACAGAUAGAGAGAUUUAAUUACGAUCGUCAAUAAUUCACGUUAGUAUGCUUGAUAUGGAAUGUGAUAAUUGUGGUUUUAGUAUCAUUUUAUUUAUGGAUUUUAAUUCACUUAUUUACACCUAUAAUUAUUUUUUUACUUGAUUAUUAUGUUAUCUAAUGGUGUAAAAUAUAUAAUACUUAUAUGUAAAGAAAGAAGAAUAAAUAUUGGUUUCUUUCUUGUACAAGUCAAACUGCUCGACUUGAUUAUUAUGUUAAUUCCUUUUAUCAACUUUGUUUUCUUAUAUAUAUAGCCAAAGAAGCAAACAAUAUUUUCUUUAUACAAACUAAACUCUUCGCUAAAUUUUUGCAAUCUUGAACUCUCUCCACACACGGUUCUCGUCUCCGCUAGGGUUUCAAGCCGCUUUUCCCCCUUCUUCUUUGUUCAUGUCAACUCAUCCCUGGGCAUUGUGAGUUCUUUCUGUAAUUCUUCUAAUGUUUUUUCAUUACCAGUAUUUAUUAAAAACUCUAAAUUUCUUUUUACGAUUAUCCACUAUAUAUGUCAUGAAAAGUGAUUUAUUCUUAAUUUGUUCCAUUUGAUCGUCAUCUGUUUCAAUUGUUGGAAUGUGUUUUGAUUCCUUGUAUUAUCCUUAUGUGGGACUAGUUGUAGGUAAAUAUUUCACGUUUCAAUUGACCAAGAAUUAUAUAUAUGAACUGUAGGAUUUUACUCAGAUUUAUGAUAUGAACUAUGUGUGAAUGACUUAUUUAAUUGCCUUUUGACUCUUUGUUUCAAAAUUCCUUCUUUAUGGAAGAUUUACUUUUCUAAAUCUAUGGUUUCUUGAUUUUCAGUAUUGUGAAAUUUCUUGAUUGUUGAUAUUUUUAUUUCUUUGAACAACAGUUACCAAGGAGAUGAACUGCUAAAUGGUGAUUGGGAGAUUUACAUUUCAAUAUCUAUGGUUUUAAGUAUAGUGAAAUGUCUUUCCUUCUUUUGAUCCUGAUGAUUAGUGAUAUAUGAAGUAGAGUCUAGAGUGUACCUCAUCUGCUCCUUCUAUGAGAUCCUAAUUUCUCGCAUACUAAAACAAUUUGUUAAAGUGGAUUAGGCUGUCUUUCUUUUGAUUGUUCAUAAGUAUGCUUUGAGGGACUUUAUUCUUUAAAUUUUCCUUUGUCACUAACAACGUGCUUUUGGUGCAGAAAAUAUUAAAUGGAAUCGUUGAAGGACAACAUGAUGACUAUUAUCUCUGAUGAGUUUGAGAAUAAUAUCAUGGCUGAUGCUGAGGAAUUUUCUUCAGCUAUUAAACAACAGGACAGUGGGACUCACAAGGUAUGGUUUUCUUCCUCUCCUAGUUUUGAGUAUUUUUAUUCGUUUUUUAUGAAGAACAAUACUGAAACUUGUUUAUUUCGGUACAACAACAUACCCAGUGGAAUCCCACAAGUGGGGUUUGGGGGAGGUAGGAUGUGACUUUACCCCCCCCCCCCCUUCCUUUUUGGAUAGAAAGGCUGUUUCUGAUAACCUUUUUAUUAUAGAAGAAUGGUCGUUUUUUCUUCUGAUCGAUAGGUCUGCAAUAGUGAAACAUAUCCAAGGUUACACAACCAACAAUUACUUGGAUGGAUGAAAAUUACUAUUCAUUUUGCUUCAUUUGAACUCAUCUUAUUCCAAAACCAUUUUUUUUAUUUUCACAACGUAAUUAUAUGGCCAAUCUGAACUCCCCUAUUUUUUUGAGAAGCUGCUUCUUUAGAUCUUGCACUUUCUGAUACUACCUAUUUUUUUGAGAAUCUGCUUCGUUAGAUCUUGCUCUUUCUGAUACUCUCUUGUUUGUCUUUCCAUUGUUUUCCUUAUUUUUUUGAGAGAUGUUGAUGAAUACACUAUUUAAAUGAGCCUUUGUAAGUGAACUUGUUGAAAGUGCCCAACCUAAAUAGAGAGGAGUAGAAAUAAAUGUUUCAUGGGACUGACACCAACUAGUAUGAGUUUGAGCUGUAAUUGAUAUGUAUAUAUCUCUUUCAUCUGAUUACAAUACCUCUUUUGUCUUGGAUUGCAGGUUCCAGAGGACGACUUCAAGGCUGUUGCUUAUAAGCAGGAAUGGAAUGAAGUAUCAAAAUUACCUGCAAACUACAUUAGGAGAGAAGACAUGGAGAUGAAAGAUGUUGCUAUGAAACAUGUAUUGCCUUUCCUUCCUGGUAAAUCAUUGAUGAAGUUUCGGGCAGUGUCCAAUGAAUGGAAACAUUGGAUAGUUUGUCCGUUAUUAGCAUACCAGCAAAGCACUUCAUUCCAGAAACUUUCAGGCUACUUUUAUCAAGUUGUGGAUGUGGAUUUCCAAUCUGAUCCUAAUUUCUUGUCUCUGGACCAUUCUGCGAAUGGUAUCCCCAAUCCUUCCCUGGGUUUCUUGCCUGAAAGGAUUAAAGUUCUCAGUUCUAGCAGCGGGUUGCUCCUUUGCCAGGGGUUGGAGAGUUAUUACGUUUGCAAUCCUCUGACCCUAGAUUGGGAACGUAUCCCUCCUCAUCAAUAUUAUCACGGAUCUGAUCCAGCUGUCAUUCUUGCGUUUGAUCCUCAGGGUAAUAUUGAAUCGUAUUUUCACCUUGUCGCUGCUGUCCCUCUUCUUGAUCAACCAGUUGUGUUCUUUGAGAUUUACUCGUCUCAAUCAAAUUCCUGGAGUCGCUCUUCUUCAGAGUGUCUUGAGUUGGAAGAUACAACUCUUGUUGGUGGGGGAUUAUAUAUGAAGGGGAUGGCGUACUGGAGUACAACAUCAAAUGGUGUGCUAGCAUUUGAUGUGAAAAAUGAGGUCGCUGCAGUUCUACGUGUGCCUAUUCCACCUGGGAGAUAUGGUGCCUUGACUCAGGUAAAGGAUGAGCUAUCCUAUGUAACUGUUUACAACGAUUGUGGGGAUGUUUUUAUGUUAGAUAUAUACGGAGGAAUGGACAUGAGUCUGAAUCACAGUGUCUGCAUAAAUCUUGGACACAAGAAGUCUCGCCAAACACUGGAGGAAGAUCCCUUUAUUGACAAUGGUACUGUGUUGUGCAGCGUAUUACCCUGCAUAAACAGUGGUGAUGACAUUGUGGUGAUCUGCACAACUGAAAGGAUAUAUCUUUAUUACCUGAGUGGGCAGAAGGUUGAGACUUUUAUCACUCCAGGACAGCUAAAUCCGAAGAGAAGAUUCAUACCUUACACAAACAGCCUCGCUGCGAUACAUGAGCUGAAGAACUAGCUGUUGCUGUCAAGUAGAAUUCUCAUGUCCUUCCAUCAGAACUCCUUGAACAUUUUGCAUCUUCUUUUGCUUUUUAUUUGACUUGGAUUGCAGAUUAAGCUGUUUGAAUAGCUUUGUGUUUUUGUUAUAGACAUGCUUUGGAUUGCCAAUAGUUAUUGCGAGGUUUUAGUGGUCAGUUCCUUUCUACUGCUACUAUUUAUAUUUGAC